rnacentral:rRNA from 1 species
CGGAGGGUGCAAGCGUUGUCCGGAUUUAUUGGGUUUAAAGGGUGCGUAGGCGGCUCUUUAAGUCAGUGGUGAAAUCCUACAGCUUAACUGUAGAACAGCCAUUGAUACUGAAGAGCUUGAGUACAGACGAGGUAGGCGGAAUUUAUGGUGUAGCGGUGAAAUGCAUAGAUACCAUAAAGAACUCCUAUUGCGAAGGCAGCUUACUAGGCUGUAACUGACGCUGAGGCACGAAAGCGUGGGGAUCAAACAGGAUUAGAUACCCUGGUAGUCCACGCCGUAAACGAUGAUUACUCGAUGUUCGCGAUAUACAGUGAGCGUCCAAGCGAAAGCGUUAAGUAAUCCACCUGGGAAGUACGAUCGCAAGAUUG